GGAGAGGUGGCAGAGUGGUCGAUUGCGACAGUCUUGAAAACUGCUGAACUGAAAGGUUCCGGGGGUUCGAAUCCCUCCCUCUCCGC
rnacentral:tRNA from 1 species